AGAAUCAACGCUGGCGGCGUGCCUCAGACAUGCAAGUCGAACGCGAAAGGCUCCUUCGGGGGCCGAGUAGAGUGGCGCACGGGUGAGUAACACGUAGGUAAUUUGCCUUUGGGUGGGGAAUAACUCAGGGAAACUUGAGCUAAUACCGCAUAAUGCAGCGGCUCGACAUCGAGACAGUUGUUAAAGCGGGGGAUCGCAAGACCUCGCGCCUGAAGAGAAGCCUGCGGCAGAUUAGCUAGUUGGUAGGGUAAUGGCCUACCAAGGCGACGAU
rnacentral:rRNA from 1 species